CUCUCUAUUAUCACGCAUGAUUCUAUUUUGCACCUGAUAAAAAUAGACUACUUUCUGAGGCUUCAUAGACGAAUGCUAACAGAAAUAGAUAAUUUGAGAAUCACAUUUGUGCAAAAUUGAAAAUGACUAAGAAAAGAAUAUCUGAAUAUUCUAAAUUAGUGUAUUGCUAAAGGAAGUUUUCUCACAUAAAUAAAAAGGUCCAGAGGGACAAAAACACAAUCAUGUUGUGUGUGUUUAUUGAUUCACAUUAUUCCUUCGUAAUUAGUUGCCACCAAUAAGAUGCUAAAUUACACACCCACAACCAACCCAUGUUUCGGCCGCCAUCAGAUCAAGCAACCUCUAACAAAGACUGUACGCAAGCAACACCAUGACGGGAAUCAGUGUAAUGUAUUAUUAAGUGCAUCACUUAUUAACACAACUGAGAAGUGAUUAUAGAGGAUAAUGCACAUUUAUAUAACCAUAUAGGAAUUGCUAAAUAAUAAUCUACACCAACAAAUUGAGAGCUUCUGGUGAUUAGAUCAAAAGAAGAGGAUGACUGUAAAGUAUUAGGGCUAGGAUAUAGUGGCCGAGGGAACUCUUAAAUUAUUAGGAUGAAUGUCACAAAGUACCACCAUAUCCAUGAAAAAAUCUACCCGAAUACAACCAAGUAUUAUGAACACCAAAGGGAAUAUGAUAACCCAGAAAAGAAAAAUUCACACCCAAAGGCAACUGUUGUUUACUGAUAUUUCUUGAUGUUUGGCACAUCCAUUUCAGUUAUAUAUACCAUGUGGAUCAUUUUGAGGACAAUACAUUCAAAAAAUGAGGAGAAAUGGAAGACACAGAAUACUAAAAAAAUUUAACAAAUGACCAAUGUUUAGAUACUAACAAGAAUCACAAUUCAUUUUGGAGGUUACUUGAUUAUCAUGAACAUGUGGGAAGAAGGGUUAACCUCACCUACGACAUGGAGCUAGCAUAAAAAAUAGGAGCUCUUCCUGCCCAUCUAUGAGCAUGCCACCACUACUGCCACACAAUUAACAUUCCAGUAUUCUUGAGGUAUCUAUCUAUACCCGCAACAACAUAGGGUGUUUAUGCAACUUCAGUAAUAUCUAAAAGAAAGACCAUUGUGCCAAUUACAACAACAAAGGGGGGUGUUUUUAAUCAAAUAAAGAGUCACUUGUAUACUAUACCGAAGACAUCGAUAUGAACAAUUUCAGAAUUGAGCAAGUGCACCAAAGCCUAGUUAUCAAUAAAGUGUCACUUAUAACUAUCUAGUUGAAUUAGUCCUGUUACAUAACCAUAUAUCCUCCAAGUAGGAAAAGGCACCAACAAAAAGAGAGGGAUUAUCCAUAGCAAUCAAGGUGCAUAUUUUGGGGGGGGGGGUGCAUAUUGGUAUGUAACUAAGAAAUGGGAAAUCUGAAUAGACUUGAGGGCUUAGAAACAAAACUCAGACCAUUCUUGCAAGGAAGUAAUUAACAAAUCUGUGUCCAAGCUAAGGACAUGAAAAAAGAACAAAACAAAGGAUUUGUCUCUUUUUAAGGGUUGUUUUAUUAAAGGGGAGUUAGGACUCUUCACAUAUUAAUGGAUCACUAUAUGAUGACUUAAACCCGCUAAAGUUAGCUUGUACUAAAAUAAAUCUCUUUGCACCCUCAUAUAUUCUUCAUUGUACAAAAUCAGAAGUUGCUAGACUAACGAAAGGUGCAGAAUAAGGGGAAUGGAUCUGUGUGUGAGAGAGAGAGAGAGAGAGAUGACCUGGGACGCUAAAACAAAGCACAAGUACGUCGUGAGGACGACUGCUGGGGGUGGUUCCUUAAUUGGAGAACAGAAAAAUCAAGCUAUCAUCAACCAUUAUUUAAGGGCCUCCAAAUAAUUUGAAGAGAAAAAAAUACUAAUACGGAAGUAUUUAGUAUCUUGCAUUUGUAAGAACACUUAAGCAGACCCAUCCCACACUAUUAUGCUUGCGCAACCUGAACAUGUUUACUCCAGUAAACAGAUAGUACAGUCACCUCUAGGCUUUCAUUUUUUCAGUUUUAUACUGACUCUCCAAUGAUUAAUGGACCCUAAUAUGGCAUUCACCAGCUCUUGCACCCAUUGCGAUGUAAUAUAUUUUCUUUCCUAUUAAUUUGAAAGAGACCAAGUACAAGGUUGUGCACUAAAGUAACAAAGGUAAGAAUAGGCAGAAAAUAUACCGAAACAUGUCAGAGUAUAUAACCAAAUAGCAUAUUUCAUUUAAUCAGGAGGAUUGUCGAGAGAGGAACAGGGCAUCAGUCUUCGUCGUCUAGAUGUUUCUUUUGUUUGUAAUUACACAAAAAAUGGAGUUUCAUUUGUCUGUAAUUACUCAAAAAUGGAGUUUCAAUUUGCCCCACCUGAUGCUAAUAAAGGAACACAACUGAAAUCAUAUAACAAUGUUUGCUCAAUCUAGCAACAGAGCCAACGAAUGAGCCUCUAGCAGUUGAACUAAAAGUAUCACGAUAAAACAAUGAGAGCAUCACCAUUAGCAUCAUUAAUAGGAGAAGAAGGGAUCUCAAAGGGAGAAUGGGAGAGAGAUCAAAUGCUCACCUCUUCAACUAGUCGAGGAGGUUGGGGAGGUGUGGUGAUAGGAGGAGCAGUAGAUCGAGGGUGGCUGGCAACUUGAGGAGGAGAGCACAAGGCGGAGGAGCUGGGCGAGAAGGAGCAGCACUUUAAGAGGCAGCAACAACACAACAUAGAGGAGGAGCAACUACAGAUCGUGUCUAUUCCAAGCAGAGGAGCACCACCGGCCAUCAAUCAGCAACAAAGAACCUAGCAAAAAUUAACAAACCAUAACCACAUCCCUACGAACCUCUUCGGUGACAGCAAUUAAUGUGCACAUCGAACGUGUCAUAGCUCGCCGAUUCAGCUGCCAGAUGAUGAACAAAUCAGGAACAUGUACACAGCAGAUAGCUAGGAGGGGCAGGCGAGAGCAAGAGGAAGAGCACAUGAAGGACGACGACAAUGGCGACGUGGACGGCCAUCUCGGUGGCCGUCGCUACUCCCUGUUGCUCCUCCUGGUGAUGCUGGCGUGCGGCCGUCUCCUUUUGGCCCUGCGCCGAUGGUGACAGCGGCGACACGCAGGUCGUCGCACAGGUGGCCAAGGACGACCGUCUUGGCAGCACACGAUCCACAACACGACGUCCGGGUCCUCCCCGAUGUGGCCUGAGAGGACGCUCUCUUGCGUGGUGCGGCGGUCGCUUGUGCUGCCUCUGCCGAGGACCAUGGAGAGGAGAGGGGGAUAGGAGGGCGGGCUCGCCGUUGCACGAUGGUGCACGGCGCCUAGGGUGGAAGGGGAGGGGCG
rnacentral:lncRNA from 1 species